rnacentral:rRNA from 1 species
UCCGUAGGCGGAAUAAUAAGUCAGUGGUGAAAUCCUGUGGCUCAACCACAGAACUGCCAUUGAUACUGUUAUUCUUGAAUAUAGUUGAGGUAGGCGGAAUGUGUAAUGUAGCGGUGAAAUGCUUAGAUAUUACACAGAACACCGAUUGCGAAGGCAGCUUGCUAAACUAUUAUUGACGCUGAGGCACGAAAGCGUGGGGAGCAAACAGGAUUAGAUACCCUGGUAGUCC